AUUGAACGCUGGCGGCAGGCCUAACACAUGCAAGUCGAACGAGUGGCGGACGGGUGAGUAAUGUCUGGGACACUGCCCGAUGGAGGGGGAUCACUACUGGAAACGGUAGCUAAUACCGCAUACCAUCGGAUGUGCCCAGAUGGGAUUAGCGAGUAGGUGGGGUAACGGCGCACCUAGGCGACGAUCCCUACCGGGUCUGAGAGGAUGACCAGCCAAACGGGAACGGAGACACGGUCCAGAGUCCUACGGGAGGCAGCAGUGGGGAAUAUUGUACAAUGGGCGAAAGCCUGAUGCAGCCAUGCCGCGUGUAUGAAGAAGGCCUUCGGGUUGUAAAGUACUUUCAGCGGGGAGGCGUUACCCGCAGAAGAAGCACCGGCUAACUCCGUGCCAGCAGCCGCGGUAAUAC
rnacentral:rRNA from 1 species